UAGUGAAGGAGAAGCUCUGCUCCCAGGAGCCUUUUUUCACCUCAGGCAUUUCAUUUACUCCAGGAAAUCUCCACUAGCAAUGAAGAGGGAGCCCAAAUGUGGCACGUGCUGUCAUUGCUUAGCAUCCCAACAGUGUGCUUUGUCUGGCAGUGGGCAGCUUGCUAAGGCAAAAUGAAAAUCUCAUUGUGGUUUCAGAUGAAGAAAGUGACACAUGAUUGCAUUUGAAUCUAAACUCAUAAACUUCUUAAGUGCUGGAACAAAUAUGAAAAUCAGCUAUCUCAGAAUAUUAAGUGGAUGGUGGAUACCCUUCAACUGUAUGUGAUGAGCUGCUA